CUGAUUUUUCUUCCCUUCCUUUCUCUUAAAAUUCGGUCUCUUUCUACUCUACCUGCUUCACCUGUAUAUUAUUUCAUCAUGAUUUUUGAUGAUGUACAGGAGUUGAGAUUGGAAGUUUCAAACAGCUGUCGGCAGCUGUCAAUAUAAAAAGAGGAAUGUAAUUGGGGCUAAAAUUUACAAAAUCGAAUUCAGAAGCGCACUGAAUUCGCAGAAGAAGAGCUCCUUACACCUCACUUAAGGUGCAGUCUGUGGCUUCUUCUUCAGUGGCGUGGGCAGGUGAUUAUAUCCGAGUCAACAAAAUCGCACCAUUCGGUUCUACCAAGAGAAACAAGAUCACUCUCCAUCUUAACCUCCCAAAGGAGAGAAAGUCUUCCUCUUCCUCUGCUUCCACAAGCGAGUAUUUCAUCAAAUACUUGGCUUAGUUUUUACAGACAUUUACCAACGGACACCACUAUAAAGCUCAAACAUAUCGACAUCCAUGUAUUUUUAAACAGUAUUCAAUUAUUUCUUAUAAUAAUCCAAAUAUUUAUUAUCGUUCGCUCAAUGUAAAUGUGAAGAAAGUUGGUUCGAUGAAGUCAACGGUUGUCGUAACCUUGUUUUCUGUAAAACAAGCACCUUCUUGACACACAAAUUUAAAUGACUGAAACCAGCAAAAAUAUUUAUACAUAAGCAUCAAAUAAAAUUUUUUUGUAUCAGCCAUUCGUACUUCUUUAAAAAAAAAAUUUCACGCACAAUGCUGGACACUAUUGUCUACAUUCCAACAAUAUUGGCAUACGUCUUUAUAUUACUGCUUGUUAUCAUCCUUUGCUUUAUUGUUGUUUACGUCAGCCAUAAAAUCUAUGUGUGCAUUUACGAUAGCCUGCCGGUUGCGCGUGUGGCUCUAUCCAACAUAAUGAGCAUAGACUUUAAAGAUAAUAAUCUAGCGAGAAAUCAUAGUGGAAUUGUGCUGCGUUCAUCAGAAAGCCUUAAUGACCGAAAGGCGAAAUCAGGUUAAUAUUUGAAAAGCUAGAUUUUCAAUUAUUGUGCUUCAGCUUAUGGGAUACAGCCUACAGACAGCAAUGCUAUAAGUUGUAGCAAAACUCAUUAUCAAAUUUCUAUAACUGUGAAAAAUAGUUGGUUAUACAUAAGUACAUAUUAUAUUAUACCAGAAAUGGGGAUGUUAAUGGUGGUAAUGGCUGGAUUUGUUCUUUGAAAGGGUAAUAAUCGAAACUCUGCCAUUGCGCUGUCAUUUCCGGUGAACCAUAGCAAAAAAAAGUGCGUCUGGGUUGGCAGUAGAACUUGUAACAGGAUUAUCCAAAGUGUAUUUGGACGAAUGAAAAUUUAAAAAAGAAGAAAACUGGAUUGUUAUUAUAUUUUUAUUACAAAAAGUGCAAAUUUUAGUAAAAUUUGUUCAACAUACUUUUUAAUAGUUGCAAUUGCAAAAAAAUCCUUAGUCUAAUUGCUCAUGAGUUUGAUCUCGAAUAUUUGUAUAAGUUUCCUGAAGAUCCGUUGAGGAUUUUCGAGAGCUUUUGACAACUGACUUUGAAAACACAGUUUCGAAAAACGCGUUUAAAUUUAGAGCCCUCAGCUUAGCUGUCUUUCAACGCACACUUAAAAUAUUAUCUAGAUGUUGUAGAAGUUACCCAAUAGAAAUCGGAUGCAUACAACAUCGAUCACCUGAAGUUCCCAGGAGAGCAUGUAUACUUUUCCUAUUCAAAAGCAAUAACAGCAUGCAUACAAAAUUUCAUAAAAUAUUUUUUUUUUGUAUCAAUCUACAUUUAUUGUUUAUUCAAACUUCUAUUUGCAAUUUGCGAUAUACACGAUAUACAUACAUAUGUACAUAUGUUAUCAAUAUUUCAGAAGGAUUUUAAGAUAUUAUUUUUCACAAUUCAUGCAUGCAUACGUACAUAUACAUCACCUUAGGUCGUCCAAGCAUUUAUGACUGAUAGAAUUCCUGAGGAACUUAGUACUGAGCGAUGCACGUUUCAUGUUUCUUCAUGCAUUCUUUUUGUAUGCAAACAAUUCAUUUCGAUUGGGUAAUAACACAAUAAAAUAUAAUGUAUGAUUGUUGGAAACUGCGAGAUCCAUGAAACCCCUUAACAUCUUCCCUAAACAUCUGUAAUA